UAUAGCUUAAGCAGAUUGUGCUGGCUACUGACAAAACAAGAAUGGUUAAAAUGCAAUCAUAAUGGCACUGUUAAAAGAUAAUUUAGUUUCUUACUAAAAAGGCUGGUUAAAAUAUGGAACAUGUUCAUUAUUUCACAUUUUUGAGAAUUAUUAUUGUUUGACUUCUAACAGGAUAAUGUUGCAUACCUGAGUAUUGUUUACAACAGAGUCUCCAUCAAAUGAGUGUAUGUAAAAACUGAAGUGGUUAGAAAAAUAUCUAAUGCCCUUUUAAUUGGAAACAAUAGCAUUUUUAUACCUUCAGUGGGGUUGUAUUUGUAAAAUAUGCCAGAACAUAAUGUAAAUUUAUGAACAAAUUAACCAGCCCUCUUUUCUUCAGGUUGUCCAAUAUGUGCAGCAACAAUACCUCCCAAUUUAGCUGACUGUGUCAUCUACUCUGAAGAGUUUAUUCAACAAACCCAGCAAUGUAAUAUCACAUUGCAAUCCUAGCCAUGCCAUUUCAGUAGUUCUAUUUCAGUUCAAUGGGGCUAACUCCCAGAACCCAAGUUGCUGAAUAUGUGAUUUCCAAGCAGCCUCCCAUCAAGGCACUGAUAAAACCUGGACCUAUUUAGGUUCAGCAAGGUGAUGGCUUCAUGUACCACUGGAAAUAUCAGUUAAUAGCAGAGUUGGACCAUUAAAUAUUAAGUUCAUUUCUGGUUCAGCUCAGUGGCAAUGCUUAGCUGUUUGAUUAAACCUUUACGUCU